GGGCUUUGUUGUCAACCUCCUCUCUACCCGGGAACUUUCGGAACUUUUGGUUUGCAUUUUUGGUUGUGGAAAAUGGCACCAUCGACUACAGUAUGGAAAACGGAUGCUUAAAGCCUGCAUCACAAAGGAAACUAGUGCUACAUGUAUGUAGGCCUAUCAAUGAAUCCAAUCACUUGACAAGCAAUCAGACAAGAAGGAAAUAAUCAAGUUUAUAAAAGAAAACAAACAACUUUUCGGUGCGUUGAAGUGCCUUUCAGAAACCGAAGCUUAUAAAAAAAAACACACGUGAAAUUAUUUGAUGAAAGAAAGACAU